rnacentral:rRNA from 1 species
UGAAGAGUUUGAUCAUGGCUCAGAUUGAACGCUGGCGGCAGGCCUAACACAUGCAAGUCGAACGGUAACAGGAAGCAGCUUGCUGCUUCGCUGACGAGUGGCGGACGGGUGAGUAAUGUCUGGGAAACUGCCUGAUGGAGGGGGAUAACUACUGGAAACGGUGGCUAAUACCGCAUAACGUCGCAAGACCAAAGAGGGGGACCUUCGGGCCUCUUGCCAUCAGAUGUGCCCAGAUGGGAUUAGCUAGUUGGUGAGGUAACGGCUCACCAAGGCGACGAUCCCUAGCUGGUCUGAGAGGAUGACCAGCCACACUGGAACUGAGACACGGUCCAGACUCCUACGGGAGGCAGCAGUGGGGAAUAUUGCACAAUGGGCGCAAGCCUGAUGCAGCCAUGCCGCGUGUAUGAAGAAGGCCUUCGGGUUGUAAAGUACUUUCAGCGGGGAGGAAGGUGUUGUGGUUAAUAACCGCAGCAAUUGACGUUACCCGCAGAAGAAGCACCGGCUAACUCCGUGCCAGCAGCCGCGGUAAUACGGAGGGUGCAAGCGUUAAUCGGAAUUACUGGGCGUAAAGCGCACGCAGGCGGUCUGUCAAGUCGGAUGUGAAAUCCCCGGGCUCAACCUGGGAACUGCAUUCGAAACUGGCAGGCUUGAGUCUUGUAGAGGGGGGUAGAAUUCCAGGUGUAGCGGUGAAAUGCGUAGAGAUCUGGAGGAAUACCGGUGGCGAAGGCGGCCCCCUGGACAAAGAC